rnacentral:rRNA from 1 species
CUCGUAGGCGGCUUGUCGCGUCUGCUGUGAAAUCCUGGGGCUUAACUCUGGGCGUGCAGUGGGUACGGGCAGGCUAGAGUGCGGUAGGGGUGACUGGAAUUCCUGGUGUAGCGGUGGAAUGCGCAGAUAUCAGGAGGAACACCGAUGGCGAAGGCAGGUCACUGGGCCGUUACUGACGCUGAGGAGCGAAAGCAUGGGGAGCGAACA